UACGUAGGGUGCGAGCGUUAAUCGGAAUUACUGGGCGUAAAGCGUGCGCAGGCGGUUUUGUAAGCCAGGGGUGAAAUCCCCGGGCUCAACCUGGGAACUGCAUCUGUGACUGCAUCGCUGGAGUGCGGCAGAGGGGGAUGGAAUUCCGCGUGUAGCAGUGAAAUGCGUAGAUAUGCGGAGGAACACCGAUGGCGAAGGCAAUCCCCUGGGCCUGCACUGACGCUCAUGCACGAAAGCGUGGGGAGCAAACAGG
rnacentral:rRNA from 1 species